GACGAACGCUGGCGGCGUGCUUAACACAUGCAAGUCGAACGGAAAGGCCCCUUUGGGGGUACUCGAGUGGCGAACGGGUGAGUAAAACGUGAGUAACCUGCCCUUGACUUCGGGAUAACUUCAGGAAACUGGGGCUAAUACCGGAUAGGAAUCCUUGCUGCAUGGGGGGGGUUGGAAAGCUUCGGCGGUUUUGGAUGGACUCGCGGCUUAUCAGCUUGUUGGUGGGGUAGUGGCUUACCAAGGCUUUGACGGGUAGCCGGCCUGAGAGGGCGACCGGCCACAUUGGGACUGAGCUACGGCCCAGACUCCUACGGGAGGCAGCAGUGGGGAAUAUUGCACAAGGGGCGGAAGCCUGAUGCAGCAACGCCGCGUGCGGGAUGACGGCCUUCGGGUUGUAAACCGCUUUCAGCAGGGGCGAAGCUUGUGGUGACGGUACCUGCAGAAGAAGCACCGGCUAACUACGUG
rnacentral:rRNA from 1 species